CGAUGCCUAAUACAUGCAAGUCGAGCGAAUGGAUUAAGAGCUUGCUCUUAUGAAAUUAGCGGCGGACGGGUGAGUAACACGUGGGUAACCUGCCCAUAAGACUGGGAUAACUCCGGGAAACCGGAGGCUAAUACCGGAUAACAUAUUUAGAACCGCAUAGGUUCGAAAUUGAAAGGCGUGCUUCGGCUAGUCACUUAUAGGAUAGGACCCGCGUCUGCAUAUAAGCUAGUUGGUGAGGUAACUGNGCUCACCAAGGCAACGAUAGCGUAAGCCAACCUGAAGAGGGUAGAUACGGCACACACUGGGACUNGAGACACAGGCCCAAGACUACCUAACGGGAGGCAGCAGUAAGGGAAU
rnacentral:rRNA from 1 species